AGCAUAUCAAUAAGCGGAGGAAAAGAAAAUAACAAUGAUUCCCUCNGUAACGGCGAGCGAAGAGGGAUAAGCUCAAAUUUUAAAUCUGUUGGGUUUCAACCUAACAGAGUUGUAUUUUGAAGAAACGUUUUNNNGCGUCCAGGAUCAGCCUAAAUCCUUUGGGAUAAGGUAUCAUGGAGGGUGAGAAUCCCGUUCAUGGUUAAUCUUAAGGACGUUCUACGAUACGUUCUCCAAGAGUCGAGUUGUUUGGGAUUGCAGCUCAAAAUGGGAGGUAAAUUUCUCCUAAGGCUAAAUAUUGGCGAGAGACCGAUAGCGAACAAGUACCGUGAGGGAAAGAUGAAAAGAACUUUGAAAAGAGAGUUAAACAGUACGUGAAAUUGUUGAAAGGGAAACGAUUGAAGUCAGUCAUACCAACGGGAAAUCAACCUUUUGAGUUUGUUCUUGUGGGUUUCGAGGAGUUUAAAAGCCUUCGGAUUUGCUAGGAUUGGGCUCUUUUGGUGUACUUUCUCGUACGGUUAGUCAACAUCGGUUUUGAAUGUCAUAAAAUGACUGGAGGAAUGUGGCUUCGAUCUCGUAUCGAAGUGUUAUAACCUUUGGUAGAUGUGAUGUUCGAGACCGAGGAUUGCAACGGAUACCUUCUGGGCUAUUCGUCUGAUCUCUGAUACGUUGCCUUGAUGUCGAAAGCGUGCUUAUGAUGUUAGGGUAUUACGGUCAAAAGGUUAGAACGGAUUAAAUUCGUUAAGGAUGU
rnacentral:rRNA from 1 species